rnacentral:rRNA from 1 species
GUUUGAUCCUGGCUCAGAGCGAACGCUGGCGGCGUGCUUAACACAUGCAAGUCGAGUGCGCGUCCGUAGCAAUACGGAUGGCGCACGGCGCACGGGUGCGUAACACGUGGGCAAUCUGCCCUCGGAUGGGGGAUAACUCGUCGAAAGGCGAGCUAAUACCGCAUGACAUUCCCGGGACUCCGGUCCUGGGACUCAAAGGCCGCAAGGCCGUCUGAGGAGGAGCCCGCGCCCGAUUAGCUAGUUGGUGAGGUAACGGCUCACCAAGGCUUUGAUCGGUAGCCGGUCUGAGAGGAUGGCCGGCCACACUGGAACUGAGACACGGUCCAGACUCCUACGGGAGGCAGCAGUGGGGAAUAUUGCGCAAUGGGCGAAAGCCUGACGCAGCGACGCCGCGUGGGGGAUGAAGCUUCUCGGAGUGUAAA